AUGGACGUGGGGUCAGCGGUAUUCACAGGGCUGUGUACGGUGUGGUACAGGAAGACCAUACAGCCCUGGACGUGGGGUCAGCGGUAUUCACAGGGCUGUGUACUGUGUGGUACAGGAAGACCAUACAGCCCUGGACGUGGGGUCAGCGGUAUUCACAGGGCUGUGUACUGUGUGGUACAGGAAGACCAUACAGCCCUGGACGUGGGGUCAGCGGUAUUCACAGGGCUGUGUACUGUGUGGUACAGGAAGACCAUACAGCCCUGGACGUGGGGUCAGCGGUAUUCACAGGGCUGUGUACUGUGUGGUACAGGAAGACCAUACAGCCCUGGGCGUGGGGUCAGCGGUAUUCACAGGGCUGUGUACUGUGUGGUACAGGAAGACCAUACAGCCCUGGACGUGGGGUCAGCGGUAUUCACAGGGCUGUGUACUGUGUGGUACAGGAAGACCAUACAGCCCUGGGCGUGGGGUCAGCGGUAUUCACAGGGCUGUGUACUGUGUGGUACAGGAAGACCAUACAGCCCUGGACGUGGGGUCAGCGGUAUUCACAGGGCUGUGUACUGUGUGGUACAGGAAGACCAUACAGCCCUGGACGUGGGGUCAGCGGUAUUCACAGGGCUGUGUACUGUGUGGUACAGGAAGACCAUACAGCCCUGGACGUGGGGUCAGCGGUAUUCACAGGGCUGUGUACUGUGUGGUACAGGAAGACCAUACAGCCCUGGACGUGGGGUCAGCGGUAUUCACAGGGCUGUGUACUGUGUGGUACAGGAAGACCAUACAGCCCUGGGCGUGGGGUCAGCGGUAUUCACAGGGCUGUGUACUGUGUGGUACAGGAAGACCAUACAGCCCUGGACGUGGGGUCAGCGGUAUUCACAGGGCUGUGUACUGUGUGGUACAGGAAGACCAUACAGCCCUGGGCGUGGGGUCAGCGGUAUUCACAGGGCUGUGUACUGUGUGGUACAGGAAGACCAUACAGCCCUGGACGUGGGGUCAGCGGUAUUCACAGGGCUGUGUAGUACAGGAAGACCAUACAGCCCUGGACGUGGGGUCAGCGGUAUUCACAGGGCUGUGUACUGUGUGGUACAGGAAGACCAUACAGCCCUGGACGUGGGGUCCUCGCUGUAG
rnacentral:lncRNA from 1 species